rnacentral:rRNA from 1 species
UACGUAGGGGCAAGCGUUAUCCGGAAUUAUUGGGCGUAAAGAGUGCGUAGGUGGUUACCUAAGCGCAAGGUUUAAUCUUGAGGCUCAACCUCAUUCUGCCUUGCGAACUGGGCUACUUGAGUGCUGGAGGGGAAAGCGGAAUUCCCAGUGUAGCGGUGAAAUGCGUAGAUAUUGGGAAGAACACCGGUGGCGAAGGCGGCUUUCUGGCCAGUUACUGACGCUCAUGCGCGAAAGCUGGGGUAGCGAACCGGAUUAGAUACCCCGGUAGUCCCUGAG